rnacentral:rRNA from 1 species
AGCAGCCGCGGUAAUUCCAGCUCCAAUAGCGUNUAUUAAAGUUGUUGCAGUUAAAANGCUCGUAGUUGAAUUUCGGGGUUAGUAAGUUGGUCAUGCCUUCGGUAUGUACUGGCUUUACUGAUUCCUCCUUCUUGACGAACCGUGAUGUCAUUAAUUUGGUGUUGCGGGAAAUCAGGACUGUUACUUUGAAAAAAUUAGAGUGUUUAAAGCAGGCUAACGCUUGAAUACAUUAGCAUGGAAUAAUGAAAUAGGACGUUAAUCCUAUUUUGUUGGUUUCUAGGAUCGACGUAAUGAUUAAUAGGGAUAGUUGGGGGCAUUAGUAUUCAAUUGUCAGAGGUGAAAUUCUUGGAUUUAUUGAAGACUAACUACUGCGAAAGCAUUUGCCAAGGAUGUUUUCAUUAAUCAAGAACGAAAGUUAGGGGAUCGAAGACGAUCAGAUACCGUCGUAGUCUUAACCAUAAACUAUGCCGACUAGGGAUCGGAUGAUGUUAUUUUUAAUGACUCA